rnacentral:lncRNA from 1 species
GAGCAGAAGAGUGGUCUUUGGGUCGCAGCUCUCAGUUUCAGCUCUCUUCUCUCUCUCUCUCUCUUUGUGUCUCUCAUUUUGUGCACACCAACGCAAACAGCUUAACAACCCUGGCAACAUCCGUACGUUGAUUGCUUUGAAGAGAGGAUGAGAAAGGAGAAUGAAGACUGGCGGAGGAGAGCACUUUGCAUUCAAACGCGGACGAAAACGCGGGACUCAGACUUAAG